UUCCUUUCAAAUUUUUACCAUAUCAUAUGCGCCCAACAGAGCUUGCUUAUCUAGACUUGUCCUUUAGUUAUUAUGAAUUGCUCCAACCAUUUGAUAAGCAACUUUAGCAUAUUCGAGAGAUGCCACCAAACUUGGAAAAAUUCAGUGCCAUAUGUUGCAAGUUGUUGACUAAUUUUUCUACAAGCCAAGUAUUAAAGCAAGCACUCAACUUUCAAUCGGGGAAAAGAAACUUUAUUUUGCCAGGAAAAAAGUUCCUAGGAAGGCUACACAAUUGUAGUCGAGGAAAUUGUAUGUCAUUUUGGGUUCGUAACAUGUUCCCAGCCAUGUUUCCAUGGAUUCUUGUUAAAGAUGAUCAGGAAUAUGUCCACAAUU